rnacentral:lncRNA from 1 species
CCAUCUCAUUUCCCCUAAAAAAAAUGGCUUCCUCAAAAAUAAUUUCCUCUCUAUUUUUCCUUUUAUAUAUUGCAAUUCUUGUACAAACAGUGAUUUCCACUGAUCCACUCUUCCAUUUUUGUUCAAAAUCUGGAAAUUUCACAGCCAAUAGUUACUAUGCAAAAAACUUGAAAAAUGUCUUAGGUGAUCUUUACUUAAAAACACCCCCAACAGGGUUCUCAACUAGCUCAGCCGGUCAAACUCCCGAUCAAACUUAUGGAUUUUCUCUAUGUCGCGGCGAUGUUUCAAGCACAAAUUGCAAGUCCUGUGUAGUAGAUGCAAGUGAAGAACUUGGUAAACUUUGUCCUUACGAUAAAGAAGCCAUAAUAUGGUACGAUAAUUGCCUUCUAAAAUACUCCUACAAUGAUUUUCUAGGAAAAAUUGAUAAUACGUACAAGUUUUACAUGUGGAAUGUUCGUGUUGUUAGUAAGCCAGAAUCUUUUAAUGCAAAGACUAAAGAAUUAUUGGGAAGUUUGGUUGAAAAGNGCUUAUAAAAAGCAGAAUUUAUAUGCAAAUGGAGAGAUGGAGUUAAUUGGAGAUCAGUAUGAGAAAUUGUAUGGAUUGGUUCAAUGCACAAGAGAUCUUUCUAGUGAAGACUGUAAACAAUGUCUUGAGGGUAUUAUUACUGAAAUUCCAAGUUGUUGUGAUGGAAAAGAAGGUGGAAGAGUUGUUGGAGGGAGCUGUAACUUUAGAUAUGAAAUUUAUCCUUUUGUUAAUACUCAGUAGAAGAUGUCACGAUUAAUCGACUCAUAUGGUUUGGAGCUUGAUUUUGUAAUUUAAUGAACGACUUGUAUUUCCUGUAAUUGUAGUGCUUCGCUCAAGUGUGUA